rnacentral:rRNA from 1 species
GAUGAACGCUGGCGGCGUGCUUAACACAUGCAAGUCGAACGAAGCACUUUACCUGAUUUCCUUCGGGGAUGAUUGUUCUGUGACUGAGUGGCGGACGGGUGAGUAACGCGUGGAUAACCUGCCUCACACAGGGGGAUAACAGUUGGAAACGACUGCUAAUACCGCAUAAGCGCACAGCACCGCAUGGUGCAGUGUGAAAAACUCCGGUGGUGUGAGAUGGAUCCGCGUCUGAUUAGCUUGUUGGCGGGGUAACGGCCCACCAAGGCGACGAUCAGUAGCCGGCCUGAGAGGGCGACCGGCCACAUUGGGACUGAGACACGGCCCAGACUCCUACGGGAGGCAGCAGUGGGGAAUAUUGCACAAUGGGGGAAACCCUGAUGCAGCGACGCCGCGUGAGCGAUGAAGUAUUUCGGUAUGUAAAGCUCUAUCAGCAGGGAAGAUAAUGACGGU